GUGGGGAAUCUUGCGCAAUGGGCGAAAGCCUGACGCAGCCAUGCCGCGUGGAUGAUGAAGGUCUUAGGAUUGUAAAAUCCUUUCACCGGUGAAGAUAAUGACUGUAGCCGGAGAAGAAGCCCCGGCUAACUUCGUGCCAGCAGCCGCGGUAAUACGAAGGGGGCUAGCGUUGCUCGGAUUUACUGGGCGUAAAGGGCGCGUAGGCGGACAUUUAAGUCAGGGGUGAAAUCCCGGGGCUCAACCUCGGAACUGCCUUUGAUACUGGGUGUCUUGAGUAUGAGAGAGGUGUGUGGAACUCCGAGUGUAGAGGUGAAAUUCGUAGAUAUUCGGAAGAACACCAGUGGCGAAGGCGACACACUGGCUCAUUACUGACGCUGAGGCGCGAAAGCGUGGGGAGCAAACAGGAUUAGAAACCCGUGUAGUCC
rnacentral:rRNA from 1 species